rnacentral:tRNA from 1 species
GGGAUUGUGGCUCAGCGGUAGAGUGCUCGCCUAGCACUUGGGAGGCCCUGGGUUCGAUCCUCAGCACCA